GAUGAACGCUGGCGGCGUGCCUAAUACAUGCAAGUCGAGCGAACAGACGAGGAGCUUGCUCCUCUGACGUUAGCGGCGGACGGGUGAGUAACACGUGGAUAACCUACCUAUAAGACUGGGAUAACUUCGGGAAACCGGAGCUAAUACCGGAUAAUAUAUUGAACCGCAUGGUUCAAUAGUGAAAGACGGUUUUGCUGUCACUUAUAGAUGGAUCCGCGCCGCAUUAGCUAGUUGGUACGGUAACGGCUUACCAAGGCAACGAUGCGUAGCCGACCUGAGAGGGUGAUCGGCCACACUGGAACUGAGACACGGUCCAGACUCCUACGGGAGGCAGCAGUAGGGAAUCUUCCGCAAUGGGCGAAAGCCUGACGGAGCAACGCCGCGUGAGUGAUGAAGGUCUUCGGAUCGUAAAACUCUGUUAGUAGGGAAGAACAAAUGUGUAAGUAACUAUGCACGUCUUGACGGUACCUAAUCAGAAAGCCACGGCUAACUACGUG
rnacentral:rRNA from 1 species